AGUGGGGAAUAUUGGACAAUGGGCGAAAGCCUGAUCCAGCAAUGCCGCGUGAGUGAUGAAGGCCUUAGGGUUGUAAAGCUCUUUUACCCGGGAUGAUAAUGACAGUACCGGGAGAAUAAGCUCCGGCUAACUUCGUGCCAGCAGCCGCGGUAAUACGAGGGGAGCUAGCGUUAUUCGGAAUUACUGGGCGUAAAGCGCACGUAGGCGGCUUUGUAAGUUAGAGGUGAAAGCCCGGGGCUCAACUCCGGAAUUGCCUUUAAGACUGCAUCGCUUGAAUCCAGGAGAGGUGAGUGGAAUUCCGAGUGUAGAGGUGAAAUUCGUAGAUAUUCGGAAGAACACCAGUGGCGAAGGCGGCUCACUGGACUGGUAUUGACGCUGAGGUGCGAAAGCGUGGGGAGCAAA
rnacentral:rRNA from 2 species